UUGAAUUGAAAAAACCUGUCAGUACUACAAACCUACAAGAUCCAGGAGUGUUAGGUUGCCCUCGGACAUGCCUUCACGCCAUUCUAAACAUCUUGGAGAAAGGAACGGAAGGGAGAACAGGCCCAGUGGCGGUGCGAGAAUCUCCUCAGCUGGCUGAGCUAUGUUACCAGAGACAGAGUUUCACCAUGUUGAGCAGACUGGUCUCAAACUCCUGACCUCAAGUAAUCUGCCCACCUCAGCCUCCCAAAGUGUUGGGAGGUCAUAUAUCAGUUAUGUGCAUGCUCUGAUACAUCUGGUCCUACUAUGAGGUACUUGAGAACCAGCCAGGAUUUCUUAUUUUCCCAGUUGCAGUAUCUACCAUUUUCUAACAAAGAAUAUGAAAUAUCUAUGCUGAACCAGAUGUCAUGGCUUAUGAAAACUGCCUCAAUAGAGCUAAGGGUAACCUCUCUGAAUCGUCAGCGGUCACAUACCCAGAGGCUCCUACACCUCUUACUGGAUGACAUGCCAGUGAAACCAUACUCAGAUGGUGAAGGAGGAAUAGAAGAUGAAAACAGGUCUGUUUCUGGGUUC
rnacentral:lncRNA from 1 species